UGCCCAAAGCUGGACGCUCUGUAGCUCUGGGCUUGGGCUAAGCUUUCCUUGCAAUUGGGGGAAGGCUUUAAGAAGAACUUGCAUUGUUUUUCUGACUCCCCAGCCCGUUGGCCCUGGAUACCAGGCUUCCAGGCCUUGCCUGGUUUCUCCAACUGAUGUUCUAACUAGCUAGAGGCCAACACUUUGCCCUCUCCUUCUCCUUCCAGAUCAUCUGGACAUCUGAAAGCCAAGGACUCAAGUCUCCAGGAUGGCUCCAGAGUUUGGAGGGCCCUGCGGAGGGACUGGUUUUAUCAAUAGUGAAGACUUUACUGAGCAUUCACUGUGGACUACACGUUUUCCAUUUAAAAAUGACUUCACUUAAUCAUCAUAAAUAUCCUAGGGCACUAGAAUUAUCCCAAGAUGAAGGAGAAAAUUAAGGCCCACAAGGUUACACAACUAGGCCAAAGUCAUAGUGCUAGUAAGUGGUGGAGUUGACCCUCAAACCCAGGCAGCUUUGCUGUCCCCCUGGAGCCUGGAGCCUCUGCUGCAAGGCAGUGCUGGGUGAGGGCAGAGGAAGGGGAAGAGCUGGCUUGAGGCCUGGUUCAGGGGCACAGCCUUCCCAACCUUUCACGCAGUGGGAGCAUGGUGGGCCCAGCCAGGGAUCCAGACUGGACCUAGGGCCAUUAGGCUUCUUCUCCCAGCACUGCCCAGGGCCUGGUGAGCUCCACCCCCCGACCAUCUGGCCCUCUCAGUAUCCUCCACGAAGUGUCAUCUGUUUGUUAACAAUGAGAAGGAGUAUCUCCCGUGGUUCUGGACUUCCACAAGCAGGAGUUCCUGGCCAGGGCACCCCCUGCCUCCUCCUCUUCUCUGGAUCUGCUCCCCCUUCCCCUCAACUCCAGGACGUCAGCUUACACUCCCUGUGGCUGCUGGGAGCUGUACUGGCCUGAGAGGUUCCGGUUCAUGGCCUCCCACACCUGCCUUAUUGAUGGUCAUGAAUCCUCUAAGUACCAGUGAGCCCUUUCCUUGCUCCAAACCGACCCCAAGCUCCACAGCCAAGCUCUGCCCAACUUCACAUAUGAAGAAAAUGAAUUCUCAGCAGCUCAGAGACCUGCCUAAGGCUGGGGAAGGGUGUAUUGGGGGUGAGAACUUGACUUUUCUGGAUCCCUGUGCUCAGGGCUGUUAUGACCCCUCAGUCUGGCAGGGGUACUGAAUCAGCUGAUACUCACCCCUCUCAGACAUUAAGAGUGAGACCCCUCAGUCAGUUCUUGGGUGCAGCCAAGACUGAGGACCACCAGCCUAAGAUUUCAAUGGUUAUGUGCAUCUAUAUAGGAGUUUAUAAAGACCCCCCCAAAUUCACUGACUCUCUGUAUAAGGUGAGAAGGUGGGGUCAGGGAUGUAGCUCAGUGGUGGAGGACCUGCCUGGUGUGCACAAGGCCCUGGGUUUGAUGCCCAGCACUGAAAGCGGGGACACAGGGAAGGAUGGGGAGAUGUGGGCAUAAACAAUGGCAUCCUGGUGCCCUUGAGCCCUGCUGCAGUGGGGCAGGCCAGGAGACUGGUUCUUUUGUUCCCCUCGCUUUCCAUCCCCCGCACUGGCUCUGGGUCCGAGGGAGCUGACUGUGGUGUCCAGCUCUUCACUGGGAUCUCCCAGCUCUGGCAUUUCUGCCAUUAUUGCAGAGGCCACCAACCUCGCCACUUCUUGGCACCAGCCCCUUGUCUCCACCUCCUUCUUUACAUACUUGGUUUUUGCUGCCAAUUCCUGGUAUGACUCACUCUCAUUUUCCCCAUGCAGCCAGUUCCCUAAUAACCUGUGGGGUCUUUGACAGCAAGGACCGUGUUUUUUCUUAAGCUUCCCAUGGUUUUCCCACGGAGACCAGCAUGGGAGCACAGAGGCCUCAAGGAGAGACAGAAACAUGGCUCUUUAUCCAGACCCGUAUUCAAGUAUGGAAAGGAAUAAAUGUGGGUGAUCUGCACACAUUUGUGGAGUGUGUGGAGAGUACCUGAGUCCUGAGUUUUUGCCUACCCCUAGCACAUUCCUGGUUUCCAAAUCUCUGUCCCCAGAUCACAGCUUGGAGAGGAGGGAGGCAGCACAAUUUUGGGUCAGGAGAUUGGAUACAAAUCUGGUUCUAUUAUUUACUAGUUGCCACUUAACCUCCUGGUUCUCAGUCUUCUCUUCUACAACAUGGAUAUCAUGAUGUCUGUUCUGCCUAUCCCAGGUGAUUUUGAGGCUUAAAGGAGAGAGUGCGUGGAGACUGGCUGGGUAAACUGUGAGCACCACAAAUGUUAGCUAUUGCAUUGCGACCCAUUUCCUAGGGUUGAGGCCAGCCUUCCAUCACAAGCCCCCAGAUGUCUUCCCAAGCCUAAGCCUGGGUGAGAGGCCUGGGCUUCCCCCUUGCCGCAGGGCUCUCUGUGUGAGCUGGUUAAUAACAAGGCAGCCAGCCUGGGUCCAGCGGGAGACUCAGCACCGUGGACAGCGCCACACAGACCAAGGCAUUCCUGAAGUGGCUUCUCCGCCAGAGCUUGUGGGCAGGGCCAGGCAGUGC
rnacentral:lncRNA from 1 species